CCUCAAAUUGCAUUUUACUUCCCACGACUUGCUAUAUUUCUGAAGAUUUCUGCAAUAACCCUGGCAUUACGCUUAUAAUGGAGACAGACGUGAUGCUUGCUGGAUCCUGAGCAGACGUCCUGGACCAUGAGAUGGCAUGAGCAACCAGUUUUGGACUGCCUAUCUGCAUGGUACGUGCUGGAUAGCUAGUUUGUACAACCAUACCCUAAACACCCCUGCUAAUAACUACCUUGAGAAUGUAGGGAUCCCGUCCUCCCUUAUAUUCCCAUCAAGCAUAAUGUGCAGAAGAAUGUGUCGUUCAGCAUUCAAGGUCAGGAGCUCUGGAUAUGGCCAACCCACAGCGUCUCCCUUGUAACGAAGAAUGUCAAGUUCGCAUGCCUUGAUCUUGGAACGCUGGCCGUGCACAGAGGGGAGGGCUAAGUUGCUAAGCUACAAAAGCUUGCUGCAUGUAGACCCCAGCAGUGGAUGCUUUAUCCAGUCAGCCACUCCUGGACUCCCCGCACAAAAGUUGCCCCAAUAAACCUGUAUCUUGA